rnacentral:rRNA from 1 species
ACGGGUGAGUAACACGUAUCCAACCUGCCGUCUACUCUUGGACAGCCUUCUGAAAGGAAGAUUAAUACAAGAUGGCAUCAUGAGUCCGCAUGUUCACAUGAUUAAAGGUAUUCCGGUAGACGAUGGGGAUGCGUUCCAUUAGAUAGUAGGCGGGGUAACGGCCCACCUAGUCUUCGAUGGAUAGGGGUUCUGAGAGGAAGGUCCCCCACAUUGGUACUGAGACACGGACCAA